rfam:Schistosoma mattheei strain Denwood, Zambia genome assembly, scaffold: SMTD_scaffold0001330
AUCUAGCUGACGAAUCCCGAAUAGAACGAGACGCGCGUCCUGUAU